rnacentral:rRNA from 1 species
GACGAACGCUGGCGGUGUGCUUCACACAUGCAAGUCGAACGAGGUAGCAAUACCUAGUGGCGGACGGGUGAGUAACGCGUGGGAAUCUGCCUUUAGAUGGGGGAUAACGGGCCGAAAGGUCCGCUAAUACCGCAUAUGCCGCAAGGGGAAAGGAGGAAUCCGUCUAAAGAUGAGCCCGCGUCCGAUUCGCUAGGUGGUAGAGUAAGAGCCUACCAAGGCGACGAUCGGUAGCUGGUCUGAGAGGAUGAUCAGCCACAAUGGGACUGAGACACGGCCCAUACUCCUACGGGAGGCAGCAGUGGGGAAUUUUACGCAAUGGGGGAAACCCUGACGUAGCGACACCGCGUGAGCGAAGAAGCCCUUUGGGGUGUAAAGCUCUGUCAGCUGGAACGAAAACAAUGACGGUACCAGCAGAGGAAGCAUCGGCUAACUACGUGCCAGCCGCCGCUGUAA